rnacentral:rRNA from 1 species
CUACGGGAGGCUGCAGUGAGGAAUAUUGCACAAUGGGGGGAACCCUGAUGUAGCAACGCCGCGUGGAGGAUGACGCAUUUCGGUGUGUAAACUCCUUUUAUAUGUCAAGAAAAUGACGGUAGCAUAUGAAUAAGCACCGGCUAACUCCGUGCCAGCAGCCGCGGUAAUACGGAGGGUGCAAGCGUUACUCGGAAUCACUGGGCGUAAAGGACGCGUAGGCGGGUUGGAAAGUCAGGUGUGAAAUCCUACGGCUUAACUGUAGAACUGCACUUGAAACUUCUAAUCUAGAGUAUGGGAGGGGGAGAUGGAAUUAGUGGUGAAGGGGUAAAAUCCGUAGAUAUCACUAGGAAUACCUAAAGCGAAGGCGAUCUCCUGGAACAUUACUGACGCUAAGGCGUGAAAGCGUGGGGAGCAAACAGGAUUAGAUACCCUAGUAGUC